rnacentral:RNase_P_RNA from 1 species
UGACAAGUGCGGCUUGUUGAUUUCUUUAAUGAAAUAGGAAAGUCUGGACACCACAGAGCAGCAUAGCGGGUAACGCCCGUCCGUAGCGAUACGAGGACAAGUGCAACAGAAAGCAAGUACAGUACGGCUGUAGUGAAAUCAGGUAAACUCUAUGCGGUGCAACACUAAGUAUAUCGGCAACUAAGGGUAGCUCGUCCAAUGCCGAGGGGUAAGUGGCUAAAGUUUUAUAGCAAUAUAAAAUGUAGAUAAAUAACAAGCACUUUGAUUUUUCAAAGGACAGAAUCCGGCUUAUAGCACUUGUCUUUAU